rnacentral:lncRNA from 1 species
UUGUUGCUCAAGUUGCAGGUGGUCUCCCCCUCACACUUGAGGGGGGGUGUUGGACUGAGAGAAUAUACGUGACAAAGUAUUGUAUAGACUUGUAUAUUACAUUGUAUAUACAUUGUAUAUUUACUGUAUACACAUUGUAUGUUCACUGGGCUAUGAUGAUUGGACUUGUAUCUGAGCCCAACGCUUAUUUAAUUUUGGGCCGGUUCACCCGAUCCGACCCAUUGCUGUAAUAUGUAUAUAGGUUAGGUAGGAGAUAUUUUACCACACGGAUUUCAUUUUCAUUUCUUUUCUGUUUAAUCAAAUCAUCUGGCUUCCAGAGUCUUCU